rnacentral:lncRNA from 1 species
UAGGUGAGGUGGAAAAUCUGCAGAACGGUGAUAUCAGUAUGGUACUUGAGGACGAGGAUGGACAAGAAGAAAAUGACGAGGAAGUAGGAUGGGAUCUUGAGGAUCUGGAUCUGCCACCUGAUACUGACACACCAAAAACUGCUUCAAACGCUCGCUCUUCUGUUUUUGUUACCCCAACCCCUGGCAUGCCUGUGAGCCAGAUUUGGGUCCAAAAAUCAUCUCUUGCUGCUGAACGCUCGCUCUUCUGUUUUUGCUACCCCAACCCCUGGCAUGCCUGUGAGCCAGAUUUGGGUCCAAAAAUCAUCUCUUGCUGCUGAACAUGCAACUGCUGGCAAUUUCGACACUGCUAUGCGGUUGCUGAGUCGGCAACUAGGGAUUAAGAAUUUCUCUCCUUUAAAGCAAUUGUUUGCUGAUCUACAU